GGGCGCUUGGUCUAGGGGUAUGAUUUUCGCUUCGCAUCUUCGUCGGUAACGGCGAUGCGCAUUGUGAAAGGUCGUGGGUUCAAUUCCCACAGUGUCCA